CUCCGCUUCCGGAGGUCGCUACUGCUGCCUCAGUGGCCCCGGAGCGGGGGCGCCCAGGGGUCCUUCGCCCCCGGCCACGGCCCCCACAACGGGGCUUCGCCGCCACCUGUGUCCGAGCUGGACCGUGCAGGCGCCAGGCUCCUCUCCGAAAGGCGCACGAGACAGCUUUCUUCUCCUGGUUCCACAAUGGCCUCCUGGCAUAGGGCAUCGGGGUUAUCUCCUUCA
rnacentral:lncRNA from 1 species